UUUUAUAAAGAUGCAAAUACGUUCUUGUUGAAGCAAUUAUGGAGACAGUCAACAGUAUAUAUGGCCUAACAUAGUGAACACAUGAUUUUUAACUUAGUUGAAUGAUUUAU